AGCUACUGUAGUAGCAGCAGUGAGCUGGGCAGAGCAGCAGAUGAGCCCAACAGACUGCGAGAGCAGAGCACGCAGCAACAAAGAAUGAAAUCCAGAAGGAAAAACUUGCUGUUUUUCUUAGAACCACAGAGUCCCAGCUAAUCCUCACCGACAAGACAGCAGCCGCAAGUAUACGGGCUAGCAAGCUGCAGCCAGGUCUCCAGCAUCCAUGACCGGAAUUCAUCAGAAGAGCAUGUGUUGAUUAAAACAACCGGCCUACAGUCAUACUUCAGUUCAUGUGCAGGAUGUAUUUCCUUCCACACAAAGACUAGAGAGAGGAAAAGAAAAAGAUCGAUUUUUACUUUCAUAAGCAUUUCUAGGGAAAAAAAAAAAAAAAAAAAAAUCCAAGGUGGCAAGUUCCUAUUACACAAAAUUAAGAAAAUUAAGCUUCCCAGACUGAGCUGUCCAAGCACUUCAGUUAGGUCGGAGGUUUACCAACUUACAAAUUAACUGCUCCCUCCAUGGAGGUAAGCAAAGGUUUAUGGAACUUAAUUUCAUGUGUUGAAAGUCUAAUGCUUACACACCCAGUGAUUUGGACAAUAAAACAAUGGAAUAAGCUAUUAGAGCAAUACACAUCUUAUCAAAUAAACGAAACUCUUCAACUACAUUAACUGACCAGACCGGCUCAAAAAAUUCCACUGUACCCUAUUUGCCACUGAUAAAUAUGUUAUGAUUAAGCUAAACUGUCAUAUCUCGAAUGUUUUUUCCAAAGAGAGGAUCAACAUUUUUUUAUGUCAACUUAAGCAAGAAAUAAAGCACCUCAAAGAAAUGGUAAGUCACUACUGAAGCACAAUGCUUAAAAAGCAUUUCCAAAAACAAUUUUU